GCCGAAGUGGUGGGCUGCUGCCCUCACAAGGCUUGUGAGGGCGGCGGUUCUAGCCCCCACAAAAGCAUUGUGGGGGCUAAAUGUUCUUAAUAUGUAAAAAUCAUUCUCCCUUGCGAAAUGCGAGUGGAGUAUGGAUAUCCCUCUUCUGUGAGGGGUUAUUUGUCUGGGCAUGUACUUCACAGAAUUCAAAUGUAAUAAUGUAAGUCCCAAUUAUGUAUAUCUGAUUGUAAUUAUCAGUAUAAUAUAUCUGCUAUAAUAGCAGUUGUUGUAAAUAUCUGUGUAAUGCAGUAAUCUGAUGUUUAAUCAGUAUUAA
rnacentral:lncRNA from 1 species